GGGUUGUGAGGUUAAGCGACUAAGCGUACACGGUGGAUGCCCUGGCAGUCAGAGGCGAUGAAGGGCGUGCUAAUCUGCGAUAAGCGCCGGUAAGGUGAUAUGAACCGUUAUAACCGGCGAUACCCGAAUGGGGAAACCCAGUGUGAUUCGUCACACUAUCAUUAACUGAAUCCAUAGGUUAAUGAGGCGAACCGGGGGAACUGAAACAUCUAAGUACCCCGAGGAAAAGAAAUCAACCGAGAUUCCCCCAGUAGCGGCGAGCGAACGGGGAGGAGCCCAGAGCCUGAAUCAGCAUGUGUGUUAGUGGAAGCGUCUGGAAAGGUGCGCGAUACAGGGUGACAGCCCCGUACACAAAAGCGCAUGUGCUGUGAGCUCGAUGAGUAGGGCGGGACACGUGGUAUCCUGUCUGAAUAUGGGGGGACCAUCCUCCAAGGCUAAAUACUCCUGACUGACCGAUAGUGAACCAGUACCGUGAGGGAAAGGCGAAAAGAACCCCGGCGAGGGGAGUGAAAAAGAACCUGAAACCGUGUACGUACAAGCAGUGGGAGCACAGGUUUACCUGUGUGACUGCGUACCUUUUGUAUAAUGGGUCAGCGACUUAUAUUCUGUAGCAAGGUUAACCGUAUAGGGGAGCCGUAGGGAAACCGAGUCUUAACCGGGCGUUAAGUUGCAGGGUAUAGACCCGAAACCCGGUGAUCUAGCCAUGGGCAGGUUGAAGGUUGGGUAACACUAACUGGAGGACCGAACCGACUAAUGUUGAAAAAUUAGCGGAUGACCUGUGGCUGGGGGUGAAAGGCCAAUCAAACCGGGAGAUAGCUGGUUCUCCCCGAAAGCUAUUUAGGUAGCGCCUCGUGAAUUCAUCUCCGGGGGUAGAGCACUGUUUCGGCUAGGGGGCCAUCCCGGCUUACCAACCCGAUGCAAACUGCGAAUACCGGAGAAUGUUAUCACGGGAGACACACGGCGGGUGCUAACGUCCGUCGUGAAGAGGGAAACAACCCAGACCGCCAGCUAAGGUCCCAAAGUCAUGGUUAAGUGGGAAACGAUGUGGGAAGGCCCAGACAGCCAGGAUGUUGGCUUAGAAGCAGCCAUCAUUUAAAGAAAGCGUAAUAGCUCACUGGUCGAGUCGGCCUGCGCGGAAGAUGUAACGGGGCUAAACCAUGCACCGAAGCUGCGGCAGCGAACGUAUCACCCAAGACAACUUUACGGAGUUGACGAUUGACGGAGCGAAGCGACGUCAAAGCGUUCAUUAAAGUCGAGUUGGCUUAGGGAUACGUUCGUUGGGUAGGGGAGCGUUCUGUAAGCCUGUGAAGGUGUGUCGUGAGGCAUGCUGGAGGUAUCAGAAGUGCGAAUGCUGACAUAAGUAACGAUAAAGCGGGUGAAAAGCCCGCUCGCCGGAAGACCAAGGGUUCCUGUCCAACGUUAAUCGGGCAGGGUGAGUCGACCCCUAAGGCGAGGCCGAAAGGCGUAGUCGAUGGGAAACGGGUUAAUAUUCCCGUACUUGGUGUUACUGCGAAGGGGGGACGGAGAAGGCUAUGUUGGCCGGGCGACGGUUGUCCCGGUUUAAGCGUGUAGGUGUGUGUUCCAGGUAAAUCCGGUUCACUUUAACACUGAGGCGUGACGACGAGGCACUACGGUGCUGAAGCAACAAAUGCCCUGCUUCCAGGAAAAGCCUCUAAGCAUCAGGUAACACGAAAUCGUACCCCAAACCGACACAGGUGGUCAGGUAGAGAAUACCAAGGCGCUUGAGAGAACUCGGGUGAAGGAACUAGGCAAAAUGGUGCCGUAACUUCGGGAGAAGGCACGCUGACACGUAGGUGAAGUGAUUUACUCAUGGAGCUGAAGUCAGUCGAAGAUACCAGCUGGCUGCAACUGUUUAUUAAAAACACAGCACUGUGCAAACACGAAAGUGGACGUAUACGGUGUGACGCCUGCCCGGUGCCGGAAGGUUAAUUGAUGGGGUCAGCGUAAGCGAAGCUCCUGAUCGAAGCCCCGGUAAACGGCGGCCGUAACUAUAACGGUCCUAAGGUAGCGAAAUUCCUUGUCGGGUAAGUUCCGACCUGCACGAAUGGCGUAAUGAUGGCCAGGCUGUCUCCACCCGAGACUCAGUGAAAUUGAACUCGCUGUGAAGAUGCAGUGUACCCGCGGCAAGACGGAAAGACCCCGUGAACCUUUACUAUAGCUUGACACUGAACAUUGAGCCUUGAUGUGUAGGAUAGGUGGGAGGCUUUGAAGUGUGGACGCCAGUCUGCAUGGAGCCGACCUUGAAAUACCACCCUUUAAUGUUUGAUGUUCUAACGUGGACCCGUAAUCCGGGUUGCGGACAGUGUCUGGUGGGUAGUUUGACUGGGGCGGUCUCCUCCUAAAGAGUAACGGAGGAGCACGAAGGUUGGCUAAUCCUGGUCGGACAUCAGGAGGUUAGUGCAAUGGCAUAAGCCAGCUUGACUGCGAGCGUGACGGCGCGAGCAGGUGCGAAAGCAGGUCAUAGUGAUCCGGUGGUUCUGAAUGGAAGGGCCAUCGCUCAACGGAUAAAAGGUACUCCGGGGAUAACAGGCUGAUACCGCCCAAGAGUUCAUAUCGACGGCGGUGUUUGGCACCUCGAUGUCGGCUCAUCACAUCCUGGGGCUGAAGUAGGUCCCAAGGGUAUGGCUGUUCGCCAUUUAAAGUGGUACGCGAGCUGGGUUUAGAACGUCGUGAGACAGUUCGGUCCCUAUCUGCCGUGGGCGCUGGAGAACUGAGGGGGGCUGCUCCUAGUACGAGAGGACCGGAGUGGACGCAUCACUGGUGUUCGGGUUGUCAUGCCAAUGGCACUGCCCGGUAGCUAAAUGCGGAAGAGAUAAGUGCUGAAAGCAUCUAAGCACGAAACUUGCCCCGAGAUGAGUUCUCCCUGAGACUUAGAGUCUCCUGAAGGAACGUUGAAGACGACGACGUUGAUAGGCCGGGUGUGUAAGCGCAGCGAUGCGUUGAGCUAACCGGUACUAAUGAACCGUGAGGCUUAACCUUACAACGCCGAAG
rnacentral:rRNA from 1 species